UAGCCUGAACCAGCCAAGUAGCGUGAAGGAUGAAGGCUCUAUGGGUCGUAAACUUCUUUUAUAUAAGAAUAAAGUGCAGUAUGUAUACUGUUUUGUAUGUAUUAUAUGAAUAAGGAUCGGCUAACUCCGUGCCAGCAGCCGCGGUAAUACGGAGGAUCCGAGCGUUAUCCGGAUUUAUUGGGUUUAAAGGGAGCGUAGGUGGACUGGUAAGUCAGUUGUGAAAGUUUGCGGCUCAACCGUAAAAUUGCAGUUGAUACUGUCAGUCUUGAGUACAGUAGAGGUGGGCGGAAUUCGUGGUGUAGCGGUGAAAUGCUUAGAUAUCACGAAGAACUCCGAUUGCGAAGGCAGCUCACUGGACUGCAACUGACACUGAUGCUCGAAAGUGUGGGUAUCAAACAGGAUUAGAUACCCUGGUAGUCCACACAGUAAACGAUGAAUACUCGCUGUUUGCGAUAUACAGUAAGCGGCCAAGCGAAAGCAUUAAGUAUUCCACCUGGGGAGUACGCCGGCAACGGUGAAACUCAAAGGAAUUGACGGGGGCCCGCACAAGCGGAGGAACAUGUGGUUUAAUUCGAUGAUACGCGAGGAACCUUACCCGGGCUUAAAUUGCAGUGGAAUGAUGUGGAAACAUGUCAGUGAGCAAUCACCGCUGUGAAGGUGCUGCAUGGUUGUCGUCAGCUCGUGCCGUGAGGUGUCGGCUUAAGUGCCAUAACGAGCGCAACCCUUAUCUUUAGUUACUAACAGGUCAUGCUGAGGACUCUAGAGAGACUGCCGUCGUAAGAUGUGAGGAAGGUGGGGAUGACGUCAAAUCAGCACGGCCCUUACGUCCGGGGCUACACACGUGUUACAAUGGGGGGUACAGAAGGCAGCUAGCGGGUGACCGUAUGCUAAUCCCAAAAUCCUCUCUCAGUUCGGAUCGAAGUCUGCAACCCGACUUCGUGAAGCUGGAUUCGCUAGUAAUCGCGCAUCAGCCACGGCGCGGUGAAUACGUUCCCGGGCCUUGUACACACCGCCCGUCAAGCCAUGGGAGCCGGGGGUACCUGAAGUACGUAACCGCAAGGAUCGUCCUAGGGUAAAACUGGUGACUGGGGCUAAGUCGUAACAAGGUAGCCGUACCGGAAGGUGCGGCUGGAACACCUCCUUU
rnacentral:rRNA from 1 species